rnacentral:rRNA from 1 species
UACGAAGGGGGCUAGCGUUGUUCGGAAUCACUGGGCGUAAAGCGCACGUAGGCGGAUCUUUAAGUCAGGGGUGAAAUCCCGAGGCUCAACCUCGGAACUGCCUUUGAUACUGGGGAUCUCGAGUCCGGGAGAGGUGAGUGGAACUGUGAGUGUAGAGGUGAAAUUCGUAGAUAUUCGCAAGAACACCAGUGGCGAAGGCGGCUCACUGGCCCGGAACUGACGCUGAGGUGCGAAAGCGUGGGGAGCAAACAGG